GAAAAGAGGACCUGGCUACAAUGAUCACAGGGUUCUAGGAUAUUUCCAUCACCAUUGCUUUUUAGCCUUACUCAAGAUUCAAUAGAAUGGUCUGACUGGUGUCAGCAGGGUUUUAUAAGCUCAGUGAUUCCAUUAAUUCAGAAGCCAAAGCCACCAGAAUGUUACCUCACUGGAGUGGAUGUUUGUGGCAGAUGGAUAGCAAUGGGGUAGCCAAGCCACAAUGCUCUAGUUAAAAUGGAGUGAUCACCAGCACAGUAGGCAAAAAGAGGCCUAUGGUUGUCUUUUAUACUCAAAGAAGACCCUCAUCCUCCAAAAAUGAUAUCGGGCUUUGGAUUGUAGCAUCUGUCAGCUGGAAAUUGAUGGAAGCCAGGGCAAUCUAAUGGUGUAUGGCAACAAAAAAUGGGGGAUCUUUUUCUUAGCCUACAUGGAUUUCAAUCCACAAAAUACCUUCAAAUUGAAAAUGUUCGAGGAUGCUUUCUUUGUUAACUACUUUGAGCCUCAGGCUCAUCAUGUUAAAAUUAGGAGUAUAGACUAAAGAGCUCCAAGGCCUCUUUAAGCUUGAAAAUGAGAUCCAUUUGUCCCUGAACAAGCCACCUAAUCUCUCUCAUUCUCAGGUACCUCAGUUAUAAAAUCAGCAAAUUAAUACUUAUCCAACAACAAAAUUUGCUAUGAGAAAAGGAGGACAUAUUCUAUGUGAAAAGUAUAUAAACUACACAGAUCCAAGUCAUUAUGAGCUGGUGUGAAUAUUAUUAUGAAACAUUCCAUGGAUCAGAUUGUUUAUAUAAAAAGAAAUAACAACUGACAUUUACGUAGUGCUUCAAAGUAUACAGAGCAUUUUACAGAUCUCAUUUCAUCUGCCCCUCAUGAAAUCCUUAUGAGGUCAGCACUAGAAAGACUAUUGUCCUGAAUUUACAGAUGAGAAAACUGAAGUACAAAGAAGGUUGUAUAUUCUAUGGUCACAGAAUUUAGUUUAAUCCUAGUGAGGUUUAAUGGUCACACAACUAUAAUUCCAAGUCCAGCCCUUUGCUCACUUCACCAAAUGAUUAUCUGCUUUACUUUGAAUUUAAAAAAAAAAAAAAAAGUUGUCCACUUCAGAAACAAAAAGAAAUAAGCAAAACUUACCAUUGAGAUCAUGUCCAGAGGCAUCUCUGUAAUACAGUGGGUAAAGUGAUAAAUCCAGAGUCGGUAAGUUUCUUGCUCAGUUAUCUAGUUAUAUCCAACACUUCAUGACACAAGGCCCUUUUGUCCCCUACUAUGUCUCAAAGUCCAUUCAAGUUCAUGUUUAUUGUUUCCAUGAAAAUCAGUAAUUCAAAUCUAGUCUCAGACAAGUUCAUAGAUAUAUGAGCCUGGUUGAGUCACUCAACCUCUGUCACCUUAGUUUCCUCAAAGGAAAAAUAAGAAUAACAGCAUCUACUUCACAGGGUUGUUGUGAGGUUCAAAUGAAAUGCCAUUUGUCAAGCACAUAGCACACUGCCUGGUAUGUAUAUGAGUAUACAUAAAUAAAUAUGUAGAGAUAUAAAGACAUAUAUCAGUAAGUUAUCUGUAUAGAGUCAGUCCAUUGGGGUUGAUGAGAUUACCAAGGAAGAGAAUAAAUAAAAAGAAAAGAGAAGAGCCCAGCACAGAACCAUGGGGAAGAUCCACAAUUAAAAGUCGUAAUGUAAUACAUAACCAGUAAAGAAGAUUGAUAGUGGGAAAUGAACCAGAAAAUGUUGGAAAUCCCUGACAGGAGACAUUUCUCAGGAAAGGAGAAUGGUCAUCAAUGUCACAUGCAACAGAGAAGUCAAGAAGGAUGAGACCUGAAAAAAGACUCUCAGAUAUAGCAAGUAAGAGGAUUGGAUUAACUUUGGAGAAAAAAGUUUCAGUUGAGUGAUAAAGCAAAGGCUGAAGGAGUAAAUAUAAACACUUUCUUCAAGGACGUUGAAAAGAAAAGGGAGACACAAUUUAAAAUAAGGUGAACACUUUGGUUGAAAACACAAAAAAUGAAGACAAUCCCUGUCCCCAAGGAGUUUACACCAAAAUAAGAGAUUAUACAUAUAUACAUUUAGCUGAGUGCUGGACCUGAAGUAAAGAAGACUUAUUUUCCUGAGUUCAAAUCUGUCCUCAGACAUUUACUGGCUCUGUGACCCCUGGCCAAGUCACUUAAUCCUAUUUCCUUCAAUUUCCUAAUCUAUAAAAUGAGCUGAAGAAGAAAAUGGAAAACAAUUCCAGUAUCUUUGUGAAGAACCAAAAUAUGAUCACAAAGAGUCAGAUACAGCUGAAAUCACAGAACAAAUAAUAUGUUUAGAGUUCUGGGAAAGGUAUUUUGGUUUUCCAAGUUAGAGAGAUGAUGAGUAAAAUCUUACAGAAUUAGAUGGAUACUCUCUUUUCAGAUAUUAAAUAAAUUGUCCCAGUUCACACAGGUAGGCCAUGAGUUUUUGUCUUCUAAACCAAGUUUUCACCAUGUCUCUUCUCAACAAACACUAACAAAUACUAAAAUAACACUAAUAUUCCCAAUUCAUUGAUUGCCCUACAUUUUCAUUCUUUUCCCCCCAGUUUUGCAUCCAAUAUAUUCUUUCAUUCUUUUUGAAAACAUUCCUUUCUUAAAAAUCUUCACUGAUUCUAACUCCUUUUGGAAGUAUAUGAUAAUCUAAUCCUUGCAUCAAUCCCUGUUUUGUCCCCCUUACUACUCUUGCAGCUCCUGUUAAGAACAUUAAUCCAUCCCUACCAUCCUCCAUCAGUGCUGAUAUCUAUCUUGGCUUUUAGUCUGGGCUCAUGUUCUUGAGCUGCCAAAUGCUUCAUCAACCUUUUUAUCCCAAUUUUAUUUUCUUUUUUUUAAAGCUUUUUUUAUUUUCAAAACAUAUGCACUGAUGAUUUUUCAACAUUGGCCUUUACAUAGCCUUGUGUUUCAUAUUUUCCCCUUCUUCCCUCCACCCCCUCUCUUAGAUGGCAAGCAAUCCAAUAUAUGUUAUACAUGUUAAAAUAGAUGUUAAAUCCAAUAUGUAUAAACAUAUUUAUGUAAUUCUCUUGCUGCACAAGAAAAAUCAGAUCAAAAAGGAAAAAAGAUGAGGAAGAAAACUAAAAGCAAGUAAACAACAACAAAAAAGAGCGAGAAAGUUAUGUUAUGAUCCACAGUCAGUUCCCACAGUCCUCUAUCUGGGUAUAGAUGGCCCUCUUCAUCACAGGAUCUUUGGAACUGGUAUCAAUUAUUUCAUUGAUGAAAAGAGUCAUUUUCAUCAGAAUUGAUCAUCAUAUAAUAUUGAUGUUGCUUUGUACAAUGGUCUCCUGGUUCUUCUCAUUUCACUUAGCAUCAGUUCAUAUACCUCUCCCCAGCCCUCUCUAAAAUCAUCCUCCUGAUUGUUUCUUAUAGAACAGUAAUAUUCUAUAACAUUCAUGUAAAAUAAAUUAUUCAGCCAUUCUCCAACUGAUGUGCAUCCAUUCAGUUUCCAGUUUCUUGCCACUACAAAGAGGUCUGCCACAAACAUUUUUUGCACAUGUGGGUCCCUUUCCUUUCUUUAAGAUCUCUUUGGGAUAUAGGUCCAAUAGAAACACUGCCGGUCAAAGGGUAUGCACAGUUUGAUAAUUUUUUGAGCAUAGUUCCAAAUUGCUCUCCAGAAUGGCUGGAUCUGUUCCACCAACAAUGUAUUGAUGUCCCAUUUUUCCCACAUUCCCUCCAACAUUUGUUCAUGUCUUCUCCUGUCAUCUUAGACAAUCUGAGAAGUGUGUAGUAGUAUCUCAGAGUUGUCUUAAUUUGCAUUUCUCUGAUCAAUAGUGCUUUAGUGCACCUUCUCAUAUGAUUAGAAAUAGUUUUGACUUCCUCAUCCUCUGUUCAUAUUCUUUGACCAUUUAUCAACUGGAGAAUGGCUUGAAUUCUUAUAAAUUUGAGUCAAUUCUCUAUAUAUUUUAGAAAUGUGGCCUUUAUCCAAACCCUUAAAUAUAAAAAUGUUUUCCCAAUUUAUUGUUUCUCUUCUGAUCUUGUCAGCAUUAGUUUUGUUUGUACAAAAACUUCAUCCCAAUUUUCCAAGCACUUUAUUUCUCUUUCCUGAAAACCCAAUAGAAACAAAUGCUUAGCCCCAAUAGAAAAUUCUCAAAAUAAGAAAAAUGAUUGACACAUCCAGCUAAGAAUAUCUACUCCAACAGCUUCUAUCUGUAUAGUAUAAUCACAUACUAUAUUUUAUUUAUAUAUUAUUUUAGAAUUUCUGUAUUAUAUGAGCUAGGAGUUAGCUGGAUAGGUAGUUCAGUGGAUAGAAAAUCAGACAUGGAGUUAGAAAGACCUAAUUUUAUACCCCAAAUCAGACAAUUUCUCGGUCCCUGUCUUUGGGCAAGUCACAAUAUUUUUCAAUCUUAGAUUCCUUCUCCUUAAAAUGGGGAUAAUAAUGCCUGUCUUACAAGGAUGCUAUGUCAAUCAAAUGAGGUCAUAUGGUAAAGUUCUUUGCAGGCUUUAAAAUGUUUUAUGCAUGUUAGCAAUGAGCAGCAGCAACAUGUUAUUGCUACUUCAUUAUAGCCAAUGAUGUAUAGUCAUUAUUGGCUUAGGACAGGGAUGGGAAACCUUUUUUAUGCACCAUGAAUCAUUUGGUUAUUUAUGACAUCACUAGACUGCUAUACAAAAUUAUCAGUUUACAGAAUUCAAGUAGUGGGAGAUUGUUCUAAUCUAGCUUUUAGCUCAUUGCAUUUUUUAUGCAAAUAAUUUUGCAGUCCUUAUAAGGAUGUAGGCUAGAGGUUCUUCAUCUCUGGCUUAGGACAUGCAAGUUGUAUACAAGUUUUGUAUUUCCUAACAUUGGACUUUUGCUAUUCUGAACCAUCAAAAAUCUGUGUUAAGGUACAGCAUACAAUGUGUUUACAAAGCAUACAUUUUUCUCUAUAUUCUUGAGCCAUUUAAGAAUUUUAUUUUCAGGACUUCAGUUUCAAUUUUUGAAAACAGUGAAAAUAUUCUGGGUUCUUGAAAAACCAUGAUUUUUACAAGUCAAGGUAGCAUUAAAGGAAUAGUGGGUUUCGAAUCAGAGAAACCAUAGUGAAAUCUCCCCUUUGCCAUGGAUGAAUUCUGUGACCUUGAGUCAGUCUUCUCAAGUUUACAGGCUUCUAUUCUCUUAUUCUUCAAAUGAGGGGGUUGGGUUGGAUGAUCCUACUAAAAAUCCUCCAAAUCAAAGGUUGUGUGUAUUCUGCUUGGAAUCAGUCCAUAAUUCUCAGAGCAGCUAGGCUGGGGUUAGAUACCCUAUGGGAAUUACUAUUUUUACUGGCUAAAUGGCUUUUCAACAUAUCACCCGUCAUGAAGGGCAAAUGAUUCCUGGGCAUUUGAGUUUCUUUAUAUGUUAUUCUGUUUGUUUUCUUUUAUUUAAGUAAUGUUUGGACAAAAAAUAUCUGAAAGCCCAUCUACCUUGCUGACCCUCUUGGUGGAUUGUCAAAGAUUCUUUCCAGGAUGUAUACAAACAAACAAAUAAAAAAAAACCUGGCACUUUUGAUUUCUUCAGCAUCCUGGCUAUAAAUGAUGAGUAAUGAAAGUGUCAAGUAAAUGAGGGGCAGAAGAUAUCUUGCAACCAGAUUGCCCAUUGUGUGUUCUCUAUCACCAUGGCCAUCCUGUCUAAAUAAUUUUUUUAAAUGGCAUAAAUCAAGAAAUCACUUUCUUUUGCAUACAUACACACAAACUAUAUGUAUAUAUACUAUUCAUAUAUGUGUAAAUAGAUGCACAUACAUAUAGAGGGGCAAAAGAGAAAGAGGGGAGAGGAAAGAGAAGAGAAGAGAAGAAAAGAGAAUCUACAUAAGCCAAGGAAACUCCUUUUUUCCCCAUCAUUAGGUAUAUAGUUGGGUACUAUAAGCAAAGGUUCAAUAAGGACAUUUCUACUAACCCAUGCUUCAAUUUUGUUGUCAACUUUGGGAUUAAUAUUUCUUGACUUUUAUAAUGUUGUUUAAAUGUGUUUUAGGUGAGAAAUGUACAUUAAUAUAAAACAGCAUUAAAUAGAAAUAUAGUCUGUUUCCUCUUCUUUGACAGCUGCAAUUUCAUUUCCAUUUUAACAUGCUAAAACAGACUUUAUACAAGAGGUCUUAAAUGCAUUAUUAUUAUACUUAAGAUAAAAAAAAAAACACGUUAGUGAUUCUUUUCCAAUGUAUUUCAUA